UACCAGCACCCCGAGUGGUCGGGACGAUUAUUGGGCCUAAAGCAUCCGUAGCCGGUUUUACAAGUCCUCCGUUAAAUCCAGCUGCUUAACAGAUGGGCUGCGGAGGAUACUAUAAGACUAGGAGGCAGGAGAGGCAAGCGGUACUCAGUGGGUAGGGGUAAAAUCCGUUGAUCCAUUGAAGACCGCCAGUGGCGAAGGCGGCUUGCCAGAAUGCGCUCGACGGUGAGGGAUGAAAGCUGGGGGAGCAAACCGG
rnacentral:rRNA from 1 species